rnacentral:rRNA from 1 species
AUUGAACGCUGGCGGCAUGCCUUACACAUGCAAGUCGAACGGCAGCACGGGGGCAACCCUGGUGGCGAGUGGCGAACGGGUGAGUAAUGCAUCGGAACGUGCCCCGUAGCGGGGAUAACCAGUCGAAAGACUGGCUAAUACCGCAUACGCUCCACGGAGGAAAGCAGGGGAUCGCAAGACCUUGCACUAUGGGAGCGGCCGAUGCCCGAUUAGCUAGUUGGUGAGGUAAGCUCACCAAGGCGACGAUCGGUAGCUGGUUUGAGAGAACGACAGCCACACUGGGACUGAGACACGGCCCAGACUCCUACGGGAGGCAGCAGUGGGGAAUUUUGGACAAUGGGCGCAAGCCUGAUCCAGCCAUGCCGCGUGCGGGA